ACGUACACUCCUGCGGGAGGCAGCAGUGGGGAAUAUUGCACAAUGGGCGCAAGCCUGAUGCAGCCAUGCCGCGUGUAUGAAGAAGGCCUUCGGGUUGUAAAGUACUUUCAGCGGGGAGGAAGGCAAUACGGUUAAUAACCGUGUUGAUUGACGUUACCCGCAGAAGAAGCACCGGCUAACUCCGUGCCAGCAGCCGCGGUAAUACGGAGGGUGCAAGCGUUAAUCGGAAUUACUGGGCGUAAAGCGCACGCAGGCGGUCUGUCAAGUCGGAUGUGAAAUCCCCGGGCUCAACCUGGGAACUGCAUUCGAAACUGGCAGGCUUGAGUCUUGUAGAGGGGGGUAGAAUUCCAGGUGUAGCGGUGAAAUGCGUAGAGAUCUGGAGGAAUACCGGUGGCGAAGGCGGCCCCCUGGACAAAGACUGACGCUCAGGUGCGAAAGCGUGGGGAGCAAACAGGAUUAGAUACCCGAGUAGUCCCAUGAU
rnacentral:rRNA from 1 species